GACGUAGGGGACGAGCGUUGUCCGGAUUCAUUGGGCGUAAAGCGCGCGUAGGCGGUUUGGUAAGUCGGGGGUGAAAUCCUGAGGCUCAACCUCAGAACUGCCUUCGAUACUGGCAAUCUCGAGUCCGGAAGAGGUUGGUGGAACAGCUAGUGUAGAGGUGAAAUUCGUAGAGAUCAGGAGGAACACCCGUGGCGAAGGCGGCCCUCUGGCUCGACCCUGACGCUGAGGCGCGAAAGCGUGGGGAGCGAACGGG
rnacentral:rRNA from 1 species